rnacentral:rRNA from 1 species
UACGGGGGGGGCAACCGUUGUUCGGAAUUACUCGGCGUAAAGGGCGCGUAGGUGGCCUUCUAAGUUGAACGUGAAAUCCCUGGGCUCAACCCAGGAACUGCGUCCAAGACAGGGAGGCUUGAAUCCGGGAGAGGGAUGCGGAAUUCCAGGUGUAGCGGUGAAAUGCGUAGAUAUCUGGAGGAACACCGGUGGCGAAGGCGGCAUCCUGGACCGGUAUUGACACUGAGGCGCGAAAGCCAGGGGAGCAAACGGG